rnacentral:rRNA from 1 species
ACGCACGCUGGCGGCGUGCCUAAUACAUGCAAGUAGAACGCUGAAGGAGGAGCUUGCUCUUCUGGAUGAGUUGCGAACGGGUGAGUAACGCGUAGGUAACCUGCCUGGUAGCGGGGGAUAACUAUUGGAAACGAUAGCUAAUACCGCAUAAGAGUAGAUGUUGCAUGACAUUUGCUUAAAAGGUGCAAUUGCAUCACUACCAGAUGGACCUGCGUUGUAUUAGCUAGUUGGUGGGGUAACGGCUCACCAAGGCGACGAUACAUAGCCGACCUGAGAGGGUGAUCGGCCACACUGGGACUGAGACACGGCCCAGACUCCUGCGGGAGGCAGCAGUAGGGAAUCUUCGGCAAUGGACGGAAGUCUGACCGAGCAACGCCGCGUGAGUGAAGAAGGUUUUCGGAUCGUAAAGCUCUGUUGUAAGAGAAGAACGAGUGUGAGAGGGGAAAGUUCACACUGUGACGGUAUCUUACCAGAAAGGGACGGCUAACUACGUG